rnacentral:misc_RNA from 1 species
GUCAUUGAUGUAGGGAUAAUAAACAUUCAACUUUCUGAAUAAUUAGUUCACUGAAAAAUUCACUGGGAAACAGCCCACACACUGAAUAUGUAAAAUAUUUAUUUCUAAAUUUUUCUUCCUACUCAUGAUAAUAUUAUUUCCUACUGCUGCUGCUGCUGCCUGCUAAAAAAAGUAUAAAACUCAUGAUUUCUACAAUGCUGACUGAAAAAUCAUCUCUGCAAGCUCCUGCUUUCCAGAAGGAACUUUAGGUUCUCCCCAUUCUAGCGCCUUCUUCUCGAGCAGUUCAAAGUCUGCCUUCCCAGACUCAAUUGCAGAACCAAGUUCGGAGUCAAAACUCUGAUAUCGCUUUCUGACAAGAUCAUUCAACGAGCCCUCCUCAAUUAGCUUGGCAGCAUUUCUGAGGCCACGGGCUAGAGUGUCCAUACCAGCAAUGUGAGCAAUAAAUAUGUCUUCAAUAUCAGUGCUCUCCCUACGCCUAUUAGGAGGAACAAAAAACAUCAUCCCCAAGCCUUCAAAAUAUAUUUUUUUUCAUAUG